rnacentral:lncRNA from 1 species
AAGCAAAGAGAAAAAUCUCUCUCUACACCAAAGAGAUGAUUGGAGAAGAAAAGAAAGAAAAAUUGAAGCAAGCUUGGAGAAAAUUAGAGUAGCUUGAAGUUGAAGCUCUCUCUAAUGGUGGAAGCAAGCUUUCCAAUAGUGGAUUUAGCUUGAUGUGAAUGGUGGUCUAAGGUGAGAUCUCAUAAUUUAAGCUAGGAUUUGGUUUAAUCCUUAAUGCUUAGUGUUCCAAUAGCCUCUAAUGUGUUGAUUAGCAUGUUAAAUCCAUUUAAUUUGGAUUAAUUGGAGCAUGUGUAGAGGCUAGGUUUAUAAUGAUAGAUCUUAAGAGCUUUAAUUGUAUGUUCUAAGAAUGGAUUUAGAGGAAUCCUUAGAUGCUAAAUGGAUAACUAUUGCAUGAAUUAAGGGAUCAUAUGAUGAAUUCUUGCAAUAGUGUAUCUUAAGGCUCAAAAAUGAGAUUUUGUAAAAUAGUAGGGCUUGAUCUCAUUUGACCCUCCGUAAACCUAAUUGCUAGGUAAACGAACGCGUUGGCGAAGUCGGUUCGGCGAUUCGUCGAGCCGUUGCAAAGUUAUUAAAGAAACGGAUGUUUAGGCUUCGUUUCCGCCUGGAAGGCCGAGGCGACUUCCAAAAAUCAUGAGGUUGGAUCUGAAGCAUCGUGGUAGCAUGCCGAAGAGCUUCUGCACUUAAAACUGCGAAGCGGACGCUCUUGUAGCGCAACUGUAAGAUUGGGCCCUUAGCGGGUGCUGAGUGUCGCAGGUAGCGAACCGGGCGGCUAAAAAUCCCGAGAAAUUUAUCAUAGCACCUUAGAGGACCUACGAGGUGGGUGGUGCUUUCCAAACUCAUUGAAAUUCUCUCUAUGCCUAAUGUGUCAUUCUUUGAGCAUAUGUUCUAUAUAUUGUUGCAUGCAUUUUAGGGUAAAGUAAUGAUAAAAUGUGAUGAUUGCAUGAUUGUGAGCACAACUUGCAUAAUGAGAUGGUUGAGAACCUAAUAAUGUCAAAACCCUAUGUGUAUGCAUGAUAUGUAAUGUGAGCACCCAAAGUGAGCAUGAAAGAACAGUGUGACACUGUGAGCAUAGAUCGAGUGGCAUCUAAAUAAUGUAAAGUAAAGUGACACUAGAGAUUAGUGUGAGGCAAAAGAAUUGAUGUGAUGUAAAGAUAAUGAUGACGAUCGCUAAAGUUAAUGCAAAGAUGUGGCAUAAAGAACAAAGAGUAAAGUUAGAGUAAAGUGGGGCAAUAAGAACAAGAAAUGUAACGAACAAGAUUGCUAGAGUUAGCAAGAGUAAAAGAAAUGUAAAGAGCAUGUGAUUGCUUGAGUUUGCAACAUAAAGUGAUGUAAAGGACACUAGAGCUAGUGUAAAGUCAAGAUUGAACUUAUAAUCCUUUGAGUUAAGGAUAUGAUCAUACUUGCUGUUGAGUUCCGUGCUCGAGGGCGGUCGCUCCCCCUCGGGCGAUGCGCUCCGGAGUUAUGCAUCACGGGUUGGAGUAGACCGGUAAGGACGGUCCUAGCUGGUGAGUUCCUGCGAUGAUGGACUUAAUGUGAAGCAAGUUUAAUGUGGCGAAACCCCCGGGUUAGCCUUGAGAUUAAAGAAUAAAGAAUAAAGAACAAAGAGCAAAGAACAAAGAACAAAGUGUAAAGAUAAAGAACGAAAGAACUUGCAUAAUCUGCAUAUGUUAAUGUUCAGCAUAUUCCUUGCUUAUUGUUCAGGCAUAUUAGCAUCAUGUUGUAGAUUGGUUACUAUAUUUCAGCUUAUCCUUUCUAUUAUGCUUGAGUUAGUCCUAGUGGAAAAGUCGGUGAUGUUGGGGCCGAACCCACUGGGAACUUUGUUGUAGUUCUCACCCCACUAUUCCACAGUGCCGGGACCGAGCGAGCCGGCGAGCGACCGCGGUAAAGGUAUCGCACCGUAGUCAGAGGCCACCGGAGUUGGGUUACAUUUUGUUAGUAGUUUACCCCUUUUAUCAUCUUUGUAUUUGAUGAUUUAAGAUGUUGAUGUAUAAAGCAAAGUAAAGAAAAGAAUGUAAUGUUCAUUUUGAGGUAAAUGUGAUGUAAAAGAAAUGAUGAAAGAAUGUAAAGAUUUUGGAUGUACAAGUUGGAUAGAUACAACGUAUGUGAUCAAAAUGAAUCAUAGUACUAGUUGAAUGUUUAGUUUUUCUUUCUUUCACUAAUGGCUAUUGCUUACCCUCGUGUAAGCCGUUUGUGCAUGUUUCCGCUAGUGCAUUUCAAUUCUCUUGAAAUUGUACGCGUGAUGAGCCUUGGGCGGAUAGGGGAAACUCUGUCCGUUCGGCGUCUGUUCGACGUGCUCGGGCCGGCCCAAAUUGGUAUCGGCUCCGGGGCGUGACAGGUCUCUCUCUGGUGGGACCGGUCUCUCGGGGACCGGUCUCUCAGGCAGGGACCGGUUCCCGAGAGCUAAUUCCUCAGGACUUAGCCAAUUUUUCGGCUGUCUCACUUCAUACGCGUUCGGGGACCGGUCUCUC